CCUUCCCAGUGAGACAAGAUGUAGAAGUAAAAGACAGUGUGUCUUAGUCCAUUUAGUGUUGCUAUAAAGGAAUACCCAAGGCUGGAUAAUUUAUAAAGAAUAGAGGUUUAUUUGGCUCGCAGUUCUGCAAGCUACACAAGAAGCAUGGCACUAGCACCAAUGCAUUUUCUGAGGGCCUCAGGCUGCUUCCUCUCAUGGGAGAAAGUGAAGGGGAGCCAGCACGUGCAGAGAUCACAGGGCAAAAAACAAAGCAAGAGAAAGAAGGGGAAGGGGCCAGACUCAUUUUAACAACCAGAUAUUGUGGGAAUUGAGACUGAGAAUUCACUCAGUCCUCACCUCCAAGGAAUAGCAUUAAUCUAUUCACGAGGGAUCUACCUCCAUGGCCCAAAUACUUCCCAUGAGGCCUCUCCUCCAACACUGGGGAUCAAAUUUCAACAUGAGGUUUGGCGGGCUCAUAUAUCCAAACCACACAGCACAGUAAUAUCAAAUGAGUGAAUGUGAAGGCUUAGGAAAGGCCCAGGCUAAUGUGUGUGAUCAUGCCUUCGUUGUUUUUUCUUGUUUUUUUUUUUUUUGUUUUUUUUUUUUUAAUACAGGGUUUUUCUGUCGCCUAGGCUGUAGUGCAGUGGUGCCAUCACGACUCACUGCACCUCAAUCUUCCAGGCUCAAUCGACUCUCCCACCUCAGCCUCCUAAGUAGAUGGGACUACCGCUGCAUGCCAUCACGCCCAACUGAUUUUCCUAUUUUUUGCAGAGAAGGAGUCUUGCCAUGUUACCCAGGCUGGUCUUGAACUUCUGGGCUCAAGUGAUAUGCUCGCGUUGGCCUCCCAAAGUGCUGGAAUUACAGGCAUGAGCCACUGCGCCCAGCCCCCAUGUCUUCCUUUUUUAGAAAAGAGUUAAAAGGUCCUGAAUUCCAGCAGAAUGGCUGAAGCCAACCAGUCUAAAGACCUCAACCAAGGAACCAAUCAACUCUGCACAAGAAUGCAGUUUCUUCAUCUCCCUGUCCCAGAAAUUCACCCCUUGCUUCUUGACCAAUCAGCAAUCCCCAUAUUUUAGCCCUACCUGUUCAGACCCUUCACAAGCUCCAUCCCCAAACUCUGGAGGGAGGAGGAUUUGAAGGUUCCUCUGUCUCAUUUGACUGCCCUACAAUUAUUAAACUCUUUCUCUACUGCA